rnacentral:rRNA from 1 species
UACAGAGGUCCCAAGCGUUGUUCGGAUUCACUGGGCGUAAAGGGUGCGUAGGCGGUCGGGUAAGUCUGAUGUGAAAUCUCCAAGCUUAACUUGGAAAUGGCAUCGGAUACUAUUCGGCUCGAGGAAUGGAGGGGAGACUGGAAUACUUGGUGUAGCAGUGAAAUGCGUAGAUAUCAAGUAGAACACCAGUGGCGAAGGCGAGUCCCUGGAAAACUCCUGACACUGAGGCACGAAAGCUAGGGGAGCAAACAGG